AAGUCAGUUCUGCAGAAAUGUAGAGAGCUGGCAAUAGUGAUGCCAUGUUACGAGCCUUAAGGACAGUUGAGGUCAUUAAGGUCCCUGAAAAUGGCUACAAUA
rnacentral:snoRNA from 1 species